GACGAACGCUGGCGGCGUGCUUAACACAUGCAAGUCGAGCGGUAAGGCCCUUUCGGGGGUACACGAGCGGCGAACGGGUGAGUAACACGUGGGUGACCUGCCCUCAGCUCUGGGAUAAGCCCGGGAAACUGGGUCUAAUACUGGAUAUGACUCCAUGACGCAUGUUGUGGGGUGGAAAGCCUUGUGCGGCCGGGGAUGGGCCCGCGGCCUAUCAGCUUGUUGGUGGGGUGAGGCCUACCAAGGCGACGACGGGUAGCCGGCCUGAGGAGGGCGACCGGCCACACUGGGACUGAGACACGGCCCAGACUCCUACGGGAGGCAGCAGUGGGGAAUCUUGCGCAAUGGGCGAAAGCCUGACGCAGCGACGCCGCGUGAGGGAUGAC
rnacentral:rRNA from 1 species